AAGGCGCUUGAGAGAAGUAUCCUGAAGGAACUCGGCAAAUUGCCUCCGUAACUUCGGGAGAAGGAGGCCCCAUUGGCAGGCAACUGUUGAUGGGGGGCACAAUCCAGGGGGUGGCGACUGUUUACUAAAAACACAGGGCUCUGCGAAGUCGCAAGACGACGUAUAGGGUCUGACGCCUGCCCGGUGCCGGAAGGUUAAAAGGAGGGGUGCAAGCUCCGAAUUGAAGCCCCGGUAAACGGCGGCCGUAACGAUAACGGUCCUAAGGUAGCGAAAUUCCUUGUCGGGU
rnacentral:rRNA from 1 species